rnacentral:lncRNA from 1 species
AACUUAGAUGACAAUGUAUAUACUUUAUCACAUUAUAUAGGUGUUGCAACAACGUAUAUACUUUAUCACAUUAUAAGUCCUCACACCAUCAACUAUGACAAAAUAUGAGAGUAUAAGUCUGGUUACAUUCACCCAAGUCCAAACAUAAAAUUCUGUCCAACAUAGUACAGCCCACUUUGAUAAUUUCAUAGGAUUUAAUAUACCGAACGAAACCUGACAAGUGAUAUGUGUUUUAAGUAUCUACAUAACAGCCUCUAAAAUUUUCAUGUUGUAACUUUAUUUUAAUACCACCUCUAACAGGGCCUAAUCUCCCAUAUCAAAAUACUGUACCCAGGAU